UACGUAGGGUGCAAGCGUUAAUCGGAAUUACUGGGCGUAAAGCGCGCGUAGGCGGCUUUGCAAGCCGGAUGUGAAAUCCCCGGGCUUAACCUGGGAACUGCAUUCGGGACUGCAUUGCUAGAGUAUGGGAGAGGAAGUGGAAUUUCAGGUGUAGCGGUGAAAUGCGUAGAUAUCUGAAGGAACAUCAGUGGCGAAAGCGACUUCCUGGACCAAUACUGACGCUCAUGUGCGAAAGCGUGGGGAGCAAACAGG
rnacentral:rRNA from 1 species